CGUACAGAAGAAAGGGGCGACCAAGGAGUGUCCUCCAAACCCUAGAUUUCACAUAAAACUCACAAAUUGAAGCCCUUAAUCUGCUCUAAAUUGAGUUUCAAACACGGAUUAGUGAUCACCUUGUUGCGGGGAUCAAAAGUUUGACGCUUGACAAGCUAGGUGGGAGCUUGCGUAUGAAGCGGGUCAAACGAAUCAAGAACGGAAGGAAAAGCAUGCCAUGGAUGCGAGGUACUUUUGGAUGCCGGAAGACGAUCAAGCUCAACGAGGAACCGAACACGAUAAAGAUACACGCUUCCGCACUUUGCAUCGUCAUUAAUUUUAAACGACGAAUCUGAUCACGUUAUGUCAAAUGACUUUUGAUUUGUAAAAGUUUUAAUAAACCCGUAUUUCCGACGUAUAUGUAAUCUAAAUUACAUGGUUGUUUUUCGUAUAUUUUACGUUAAAACUUGAUUU